rnacentral:rRNA from 1 species
AGAAUCAACGCUGGCGGCGUGCCUAACACAUGCAAGUCGAACGAGAAAGGGGAGCAAUCCCUGAGUACAGUGGCGACCGGGUGAGUAACACGUGACUAACCUACCCUCGAGUGUGGAAUAACAUCGGGAAACCGAUGCUAAUACCGCAUAACAUCGCAAGAUCAAAGGAGUAAUCCGCUUGAGGAGGGGGUCGCGGCUGAUUAGCUAGUUGGCGGGGUAAUGGCCCACCAAGGCGAAGAUCGGUAUCCGGCCUGAGAGGGCGCACGGACACACUGGAACUGAAACACGGUCCAGACUUCUACGGGAGGCAGCAGUGGGGAAUUUUGCGCAAUGGGGGAAACCCUGACGCAGCAACGCCGCGUGGAGGAUGAAGCCCCUUGGGGCGUAAACUCCUUUCGACCAAGACGAUAAUGACGGUACUGGUGGAAGAAGCACCGGCUAACUCUGCGCCAGCAGCCGC